rnacentral:rRNA from 1 species
UACGUAGGGUGCAAGCGUUGUCCGGAAUUAUUGGGCGUAAAGAGCUCGUAGGCGGUCUGUCGCGUCGGCUGUGAAAACCCGGAGCUCAACUCCGGGCCUGCAGUCGAUACGGGCAGACUGGAGUUCGGCAGGGGAGGCUGGAAUUCCUGGUGUAGCGGUGAAAUGCGCAGAUAUCAGGAGGAACACCGGUGGCGAAGGCGGGUCUCUGGGCCGAUACUGACGCUGAGGAGCGAAAGCGUGGGGAGCGAACAGG